rnacentral:rRNA from 1 species
GACGGAGGGUGCAAGCGUUAUCCGGAAUGAUUGGGCGUAAAGCGUCCGCAGGUGGCAGUUCAAGUCUGCUGUCAAAGACCGGGGCUUAACUUCGGAAAGGCAGUGGAAACUGAACAGCUAGAGUAUGGUAGGGGCAGAGGGAAUUCCUGGUGUAGCGGUGAAAUGCGUAGAGAUCCGGAGGAACACCGGUGGCGAAGGCGGCUUCCUGGACCGACACUGACGCUGAGGCGCGAAAGCUAGGGGAGCAAACGGG